GGAUGUGAGGGCAAUCUGGCUGCAACACCUGUCUCCCCAUUGAUUACCAGGGUUAGUUUAGCUGAUCUGAUUGGCCAGGCAGGUGACUCUUUCCUCCCUCACUGGCUCCAUGUGUGUGUCCCCCCCCGCCCCCUGAAGCUGCAUGAUUGGUGGAAGACGCUGUCCAUCCCAGAUGGAAGGGGUGUACCGUUUUUCAGUCAAGGGCAUAUAAAGUCCAAAACUAUUUCUCAUUUUAAAGACCGAAUUGAAUUCAAGGGAUAUAGGGAGGUGGUAUAUAGUCCAU
rnacentral:sRNA from 1 species